UUCACAAAAUCCAAAUAAAUCUAGGCUUAUAAAUAUGCCAAAGAGCUAUGUCUUCCUCAUGGAAGUGAAUCAUUGGUUUUGAGUGUUAAGAAAUGAAAUUCCAACUCAGACACAGUUGUACACAACUAUUUUAGUGCGGUUACAGAGACUGACUGUGUAUUGAGAAGGGACAAUGCUAAGUCAGUCUCUGUUCUGCUGGUGGUAUUGCUCGUACCCCUGAAAACUGCGUCCUGGCCUCCUGCCCAGGAGCUUGUUCGUCAGAAAACUCCUCUGAAUUUGAUUCUUUCCUGUGCCAACAGAUAUCCUUUUGACCAAGAAGAAUGUUCUGCCAUCCUUAAACUGUUAACUUGUGAGAUGGAAUAGCCAAAUCAGUGUGUUUGCAUAAGUCCCCUUCUUUACAGCCGGAAGCUGUUUGCUUGCUUCCCCGUCAGGAUGACUGCUUCUCACCUGGUCUCCACCCUGUUUGUUCUGUUUUACUUGUAGCUCUGCUACAAAUUAAAAUUUCCUUGAGUUUAGCUCUGAAUCACUUGAAUAUUCAAACCUUUCCAGGUGUAGUUUACAGGGAAGGUCAACACUAUAACUGAAAAUAAAUUAGUCGGGCAGAAGCGCCUGUGUCUCUGUCUCUGCAUGGGUGCAGGCGUCGUGCUGGUGUGGGUGGCUGACGUGCUGCCUGGGUAGGAGCCAGGGCCAGGUAAGCGCGUUCAAUGGAACAAGUCCCUCUCAAUAUGGGAUUUGUUAGUGUACCCCUAACUAUGAUCCUGUGCUUGCUGUAUAGGUAGCAAGUGAAUAAUUCUAUAGAAGCUUGGUAACAACAAUCAGAUCUGUACAGCUGUGGAUGCUUUCUGUGCAUAGUGUUUGUCUGACUGCUUUUUUCCCUCAGACUUCUCUCCCCCUACUACAUCUGUUCCCAAGACAUUUUGUUUGGUCAACACAGACCUAUGAAAUGAGAGGGGAGAAAUUUUACAGUGGUGUUAGUUGGUUCUAACUUUCAAACGUGUAAUAUUCAAAGGAAAUACGACACUUAAGCAUCUCCCUUUUUAAACAACCUGCCUUUAGCUGAAACACUGGUGAUUCUUCAUGAAGAAGCCUAGAGGAUGAAUACAAAUAAGGAGAAUAGAAAAAUCCUGGGAAAUAAGAGGCACUUCUUUUCAUUCCUGUUGCCUACUUCUGCAAAUUGGUUAAAUUAGGAUCUAAGUAAGCCUAAAAGACAGGAUAUCAGAAAGAAAAUAAAACACAUCCAAAAUACACUCUUACAUUAACAGAACAAUACCCUGAAAGGGAAAUCCUGAAGAUAGUUGCAUCUAUGCUUUUUGCAAGAUGGUGAUAAAAAAGCAAAAGAAAUCUCUUCAUUUUCAAGAUAGCCUCGCAAAGAAAACACCCAGACAUGGAACCGUCUCCCACCCUCCACUGCCAGCGGCUGUUGCGUACGAUGUCCUUGGAUGCCCAAAAGAUUAGGCAGUCUAGUCCAUCUGGCCCAUGUAACAGGGAUCCAAGACAUUUCUCCAUCUACAAACUUAAGCUCACGCUCUCUGCAAAUGAAGAGGACAAAUUGAAACUUAUAGUCUGAGAAAAUUAAUAGGGACAUCUGUCUCUUGAGGGGGCAAAAUUGUGGACCAGCCCUCUCAUGUGGCAAUGUGUUACGAGCAACAAAAAAGGUUCUUCUACUCUGGUAUUUUUCACAGUUCAGCUUCAGUCGUCAGCCUGCACUGUAGGACCAUUAUUGACCACACCAGUUUGCUGCUCCACUUGCACCAUGGCACUUUUCAACAUCCAGGAGAACUCAAUCCUUCUGCUAUAAAGAAAGUGGACAGGAAAACCAGCAUGUGUCCCUGAAUUACUUCCACUUGAGGAAAAAGCUGUGUACUCUUGGAUAAGGCCCAGAAACAUAAUUUAAAAGCAUCAGCAUCAGAAUAAAAAAAAAACAUGCUGAAAUGGGGGAAAGGCAUGCUUCUUGAACAUUAGUCAUUUGAAUCAUUUGACAUCAUGCAGUUGACAUGUGACAGAGUAGCAAAUGGACAUUCUGCAAGAGGUCAGCUCCAUCUUCCCUAAGUCAUCACUAUUCUCUUAGUAGGCCAUAUUUUUUUAGAGAAUUGCUCAGCGUGUGUAUGAGCUUUCCCAGUCCUAAAUUCUUAUAAGCUGCAUAUUUCUUCUGGAGUGAAAACUGGAGACAGUGUAGCCCAGGAGUUGCAGUGAAGGCAUUGAAGCAACAUUCCUCACUUUUAGGGGACCGGUGUGGUGGCAUGCAGGAAUCUAAUGUUCCAUGAAAUUUAUGAUUUUCCACUUUACUGAAGAAAUAAUUCUGUUUGUAGGUUUAUGAAAUUGCAGUCUUGAAUGCACAGUACUGCAAAUCACAAAUCAUUUUAUCUAUUGGCUGUUCUGUCUUAAAUAAAGAAAUAUUACAUAUUGUUAAUA